AUGAAUAGUAAUUAUAAGAAUUAAUUUGUAAUUUAUUACUAAUAUUUGAAUCGUUAUAUAAAAGUUUUCCUCA